rnacentral:tRNA from 1 species
CUGCAGGUGGCUCAGAGCUUGAGCUCAAGAUUUCCAUGCCUGAGGUUGUGAGUUCAAUUCUCUGCCCAGCACA